GGCGAGUUAGCUCAGUGGUAGAGCACGUAGAAACCAAGGAUUCUAGUACUAGAUUCCCGCAGCAACAAUAACUCAUACUAUGAUAAAGUCGUGGUCGGGGGUUCAAAUCCCUCACUCGCCG
rnacentral:tRNA from 1 species